rnacentral:lncRNA from 1 species
AUAAUGGUCUCAAGUAGAAAAUACCAUGAGGAGGAGCCUGAAUCACGUAGAAAAUUACAAACCCAUAUUAAGAUUCGGACAGGAAUAGGAUAGACACUCUUUUAGCGUCUGGCAGAAGACGUUAAACUUAGCGCUUCUGGGAGGCAAUCUAAUUUCUUUAAACUAAUAUCUUUUCUAUUGAAUAAACAGAGAUAUACCAAUCUUCGGACUUCAGACUUUCAAACCAACAUCACACC